GUGAGGAAUUUUGCGCAAUGGCCGCAAGGCUGACGCAGCAACGCCGCGUGGGUGAAGAAGGCCUUCGGGUCGUAAAGCCCUGUCAGGUGGGAAGAAAGGUUUCGUCAAGAAACGGAUGGAAUUUGACGGUACCACCAGAGGAAGCACCGGCUAACUCCGUGCCAGCAGCCGCGGUAAUACGGAGGGUGCGAGCGUUAUUCGGAAUUAUUGGGCGUAAAGCGCGAGUAGGCGGGGAUGCAAGUCUGAUGUGAAAGCCCUGGGCUUAACCUGGGAAGUGCAUUGGAAACUGCAUUUCUUGAGUACUGGAGAGGAAGGGGGAAUUCCCGGUGUAGAGGUGAAAUUCGUAGAGAUCGGGAGGAAUACCAGUGGCGUAGGCGCCUUUCUGGACGGUUACUGACGCUGAGACGCGAAAGCGUGGGGAGCAAACAGGAUUAGAUACCCGGGUAGUCC
rnacentral:rRNA from 1 species